GGGAUUUUCUUUUCUUCCAUUACACGCGCUCUCUCAUUUUCUCUUCAUUCAAAAACCCUAAUUCUCCGUUUCCUUCAAUCAGCCAUACGUGUGUCGCUCCUCUGCCUCCCCCCAUACACCAACCAGAUAAUAUCCCCAUCCUUCAAUCCUACUUACACCCUGAUAAUUCAAACCACUGAUUCCUAAUCUCACCUCUUACAAUCCACUAAUUCACCUCCCUUUUUACUCUUAAUCUUCGUCUUUGUCGUCAAUCUCUGUUUCUAGGGUUUCGUUUCUGUAAUUGAAUUCGUGUUUGAUUGUGUCGGUGUUAUGUUAUGCAAUAAGGUUGAAGGUUUAUGAUCUGGAUUCUUAGCAAUAAAGAAAUGAAGGGGUGAUUGGGAGUAUGAUGGAUUUGUAAAAUUGCUACCGGAUUGGGAGUAUGAUGGAUUUGUGAGCGUUUUUAACGAUUUGGGAAUAAGUUCUAGAGGAAGAGAAUAAGAACCUCAUGUAUUUGGUACUAAAUUAAUCAAAAGCAUCAUAUAACUCUGCUAUAAUUUUUAUUUAGAAUUCCAUCAUGUUUAUUUCUAAUACAAAUAUGUUUAUAUAACGAAGUUAAAUAGAAUGGAUGUAGUCAGCUUUUUCUUAAUGGGAUUCUAGGGUUCCUGCUACAUCAGGUAUGUUCUACCGAGGUUGUUGUUUUUGUUACGAUUGAUUCAAACACAUACUCUGCUACACCAGGUACGUUUUUAAGGAUCUAUUUUUUAGUAGGUAAUAUAUUAAACGAAAAAGUUAGCUAUUUCUGUUAACUGAAAAGUGAAAAAUUUAGAUAACAAUAUUUGAUUUAGACCAUCAUAUAGUGAUCGUGAUCUGGUGAAGUUUCUUUUUAUUUUAUUUUAUUUUGGAAUUAAGUUUGGUAAUUAUCAUUUGCAGCACUAUGUUGGCAUGACUUUAAUUUAUAAAUUAAUAUCACACUCUAGACAUUCACAAUUUAAUGUUCUUCGUAUACUCAUUACAAGUUUAUAGGUUCAUUCAAUUCAUUCAAAGUUUUUUUUCUAGGAUUUGAAUGUUUUUUCUAAAUUGAGUCUUGAGGGAGUUUCAAAUUGAAUUUUGUUGUUACUUGUGUCCACUUAACUAUUCUUGCUAUUCACGUCAUGUUGAUUUCAAAUAAGGAUUUGUUUAAUGCAACGUGUUUUGUUUAAAUAUUAAUGAUUUGAUUAAAUUAGGCGGAUGCUUUGUUAAAGGAGAAUAUAUAAGCAAAUGCAUUUAGGUGGAAGGAAACUUUUGGAGCAUGGGAAGUGAGACAAGGUUACUAUACUGAUGAUGAUGAUGGCCUUGCCCACUACAAGUUCUUUCAGUGUUGCAGUUGGGUAAAGAUUAAGUGCAGCACCAAUCGGGUAUUCAACAGUGGUAAUCUAAAUCACCUUCUCCUUUCAUAGUGUAUAUAAAAAUAGUAUGCAUAUUAUAUAUUUGAAUGAAACAUUGACUCUUUUUUUGGAAUCUAAAUGAACGAGUCUUCCUUGGCUAUAUAACCAAUUAGUGUAUUUUAGCUUUAAAUUUCCCUUUAUUUGGUUUCUAACUAAACUUUGGAUCAGUGAACCAGAAGAUGAACUCAAGUUGGUUUUACGGGUUGCUUAGUUGAGCAGGGCCAUUGAGGGAGGAAGAACACGCAUAUGAUGUGGCAUUUUUGACACAUAUACGUAUAGGUCAAUUUUGGUUUUGUUUGAUGAUUUUCAUAUGCAAAUGAGUCAAAAUCAAAAAAAAAAAAAAAAAAAAAAAAAAAAAAAAAAAAAAAAACAAAACAAAAACAAAAACAAAAAAGGAGUGAGUCAAAUGGGUCUAAAAGGUUGAAAACUACCUAACCUAUUUUAAUAAUUUUUGGUAGAUUUUAUUUGAAGACUUAGACUAUUAUUGUAAUUGGGGAAGGUUCAUUUGAGAAGAAAUUUAAUGUGAGAAGAAAAAGAAGAAAGGGCAUAUUGGUAAAAUACUAUUUCAUUUAUAACUCAUAUCAUUAAUUUUUCUCUCUUUAAUUAAUUAGUCAACUAAUCAUUAAUUAUCCUACAUAUAAUCUACAAAACCUACACACAUCAAAAUUUUCCUACAUAUACCCUACACAUUACAGAAUUUUAUCCUACGCAGUCGAAAUUUAUCUUACACGCCUCAAAAUAUAUCCUACACAACUCGUAAUUUAUCCUACACAACUUGUAAUUUAUUCUACACUUUAAAUUAAGUUGUUUUUUUAAUUUGAAAAAAGUAUAUAUUUUGAAAAGGAGUUACAAAUUUAAUUUAGUUAGUUAUUAAUGAGGAAGAAUACAAAUUAAUGAUUUAUGUAAGUUUACCAAUAUACCCUUAUAUUAAAAUUAAAUGCAAAUAUUAAAUGAAGUAAAAUGUAGCAUUCUUAUUGGUUGAAACUUCUUCUUUUUCUUCUUACAAAAAAAUUCUUCUCAUUUGAACCCUCCACUAUUGUAAUUAUAAUUAUAAUUGUUUCUUCUUUCUUUUCUUAUAUUUGAUUACUUUCUUUUGCAUUUAGUCUCAUAGAGAAUUGCAACAAGCCUAAAUAUAUAUGUGUUCAUGUUAAAGCAGUAUGGUGGUUUGAGACAAUGUGAAACUUUUUAGGUAUAAUAAAGUAGUAUGGUGGUUUGAGAAGACUUUAGCUCACAUACCACCACUGUUAAGUAGAUGUGGGAAUCAACUAUGGUUAAUCUUGCUCAUGCGUUAAGAAAGUUGAAGGGGUACGAUGAAGCAAUCACAUAUUAUGAAAAGGCCCUUGAGCUAUCAACAAGAAACUUAAGCACACAUGUUGGCUUUACACGUAUCACCUGCAGGAUAAUUAUACAGAUGCAAUUACAUACUAUCACAAGUCGUUAACUGAGAGGCCGACUCUUAAGAAAUGAAAGGCCCGUGGAUGAAGAGAGGCUUACAUCAGUGGCAACAACUAAGUUAGUCCAGCUAAGACAACGCCACAGUCUCUGGUCUCAGGGAAGGGUUUCGGUCUAGGCUCGCAACCAUUGUUCGUGGUCAAGCAAGCAGCCAACCUGAAAAUUCAUCUCACAACACCACUGAUCUUAGAGGUGAUGGGACUCAUGCAAACACUCCACAAGAAAUUGAGCAUGGAAAUAUGGAGCAAGGUCAAUCUUUGGUUCAAGAAAACAACACUUAUCAUGUUUCAAACCAUAUGGGGAGUUUGGAAAUUGGUGCAACCGCUCAAAUUACAAAUCAGCAAGCAUGCAUUGAUGAAGGAGAAGAUUGGCACUACCAGGCUUCAUAAGAUGUUCAUCAUACUUGGCAAGAAAGUUUAGGUAAUGAUUGGGUACGAGAAACCUCAGGGUACUGAAGUAGGUGGUAUUCGUUUUGCAAGCGCCAAUGAUGUUUGGCAUGAACCUGGUUCAUGUGAACCAGCUGAAACCUGGUCUGAUGGACCUUCUGAACCACUAAAAGCUGACAAACUGUUCCCAUCAGGAGAGCCAACAGAUUCACGCACUAGAAGAUGAUAAUGUGUACAAUAUGAAAUUAAUAGAACUUUUAAGCAGGUAACUUUUGAUUUUUAAUGUGACAACUGGCACCAAACCGGUAACUUCCGUACACUUUAAUUAUUAUUUAAUAACUACAAUUAUGUGCUUAA